rnacentral:sRNA from 20 species
CUGCGUGACGAAGCGCGCGCUAAAGUGGACAAUAAAGGCUAAGUAACGAAUGAGUCGCCUGACGCCGGCUACGCCGGCGUUUUUUA